UGUAGACCUAGCUCGGCUGGACCGUAGGUGAGCCUCCUGCAGAUAUGGAAACUCUAAUUAAGCGCCACAUCUGCACGCCUCAUGGGUACACGGCUGUGGGAGAGGAAGAAACAGACACUGGCAGAGAAAGAGAUUCACUAAAGAGCGUCUUAAACCGAGUCCGGGCUGUAGCAGGUAAUAACUCUUUACAUCAUUUUGCAUUUUGUUUCCAUUUAAUGAGGAGAUGAAUGCUCUCUCAGCUCAGCCCCUGGUGUCCCACAUUCCUCGAUUCCCACCAUCUCUCUGCCGUUUCUGGGGAAACAGACCCAGCGGAGCUUCUGACGGUCUGUGAAUUUCAACGACUCUCAGCAGCAGAGGAUUUGAUGAGACCCUGGCAGAGUAAGGCUGCAGUGGGUUGAGGAGGCGUUUCUUUGGAGGAGACUUCAAUCAAAUUAACCCCAGAGUGACGUCAAAGUGCCUCCGCAGACAGACUGUCAGGAUUUGGAGGGAGGCCAAGGGGGCCAGCGGGAGCUCAGCUACUGUUUCUUUCUGCUGUUGAGCUUUCCAAGCUAGCUCUGAGUGCUCAGGAUAACAGAGGCAGAUUUAUCACUGACAAAAACUAAGUGUUUAGUUGUUUUGAAUAAACUGGUUGUUAUAA